rnacentral:lncRNA from 1 species
AUGACGUGGCAAAUAAAGGAAUAUUCUCUGCUUCUCAGACCAAGCAAGGCACACGUAUUAAAGCAAAAGAUAAGAAGCACGAAUCUCCUCACAUGGUACACAAUGAGGAGGGAGCAGCUGCUCACUUUCCAAGGGUCCCAGAGGCCUCAGACCAGGGAGGGAGAUAGAAAGCUGCAGACAGACAGUUUUAAGUCCUUCAUCUUUAUUCAUUUAAUCAUCAAUGUACAUUAAGCACCACCUCUGUGCUGGCUUCGUGGAAACCAUGGCUAAUAUAAUACAAGUCAACAGAUUAAGAACUGUGAAGGACAGAGAAGACAUUGCAUACACGAUAGUGGUGUAAACAGGAAAAUGCGUGCUGGCAAAUUGCCCAGAGACAUUCCUGAAAUGUGAAGAUCCAGUCCUUGACCCUUCACCUUGUAACUGCAAAAACUGGUGUUUCUAAGGUCUUCAGAGGUGUGGAUUUGACUGCAUUCUGUAAAUCAGUUACAAACUAAUCAAUCUGCAAGUUGCUCAAAUAACUAAAAUAAUAUGGCAG